CUUGCAUCUUAACUUCCUUAUUUUAAAAGACAUCAAUGCGUUUAAUGAUUCAAUGCUUGAGAUUAACCCGAUUUUUUAUCUUUUAAUUCUGUUCUUAUUCUGGUUUAUGGCAUUUCUCGAAUUCCCUGCCAAAUAUUCGCCCAAACCAACCUACCAACCUUUUCAACAUGAUGUGAGUGUAAAAUCUUUUUUGGUAACAACCAUUGACUCGUUUUGGGCUGAUUCAACCCUGCCAGCUUCCUCAAAGUGGAUCGUGACACAACUAAGCGACGAUAUUGACCAUAAAAGAUUUUGCUUGAAACAAUCAUUUUAACCUUUAACUUCUCAAAGGUUGAUUUUCAUUUUUAAAUUCAUUAUUCUUCAAAAUGAUUCUUAAUCUGAAAAGCUUAAAAAGAUAAACGACAAAUAGGAUACGGAAUACAAGUCUUAUCGAAAGUGUGCAUUUGAAAUGGAAAAAAGGGAAAAUUUGCUUUUCUACUCCAACAUCUUUACCUUUUUCAACAAAUAACCAUUUAAUAUGACCAUUAAUCAAUGUACAGAAAUUGUCAAAAUGAUAAUAUCUGAAAAUACUUGAAAAGCAACUGGAAGGAAAAUGUGAAAACUCUCAAUGGCAAAUAGCACUUCACAAAGCUUAUAUUGAACAUUUGCUUGUGAAACAUUGUAGACUAUUAUUAAAUGCUUGUAAAGUAUUAGAAGAUGAAGAAAAAGAAGAAGAAAGAAGUUCAUGAAAUGUAAAAGUAUUAAGUGAAAGAAGAUGAUUUUAUAAACGAUAAAUGACCAGCAAUUUGAUACCAUCAUAAUGAUCAUCAUGAAUAAUCAAUUUUUUGAAAUUCAAUAAUGAUAUGAUAUUGAAGAGGCAAAGAAGACUGAAAGGAAAGAAGAAGAAACUUGUUCCCAGUGUUCACAUUGAACUGAUCAUGAUGAUAAUCAGACAUCAUCAUUUUUCAUAUUUCCAGCCUCUUCAAGCUGAAUUGAAGAUCAUAAAUGUACAACUUGAAUCAACUUGAUUCAAAUAUAUGUUGACACAAUGAAAAUGUUAUCAAACCUGUCAUACAAAUGUGAUAAUAUUAAGUUAACAAAGCUUGAAUAUGCAUGUUGACAACAAGUAAAACUCAUCAUUAAUUCAUUUUGAUUUUCACUUCUUUCCAUUUUCAAUUUCACAUUCAGUUUCAACUGAUUGACUAAUUUUUACAGCAAAAUAUUCAGAGUAAAAUUUAACUUGAAAUUGAGUGAAAUUCAAAAAGUCAACUUUAUUGAUUUGAGAGUUGGAAAUGGAUUGAGAGCAAAAUAUUAAUCAUUUCACUCAUUUUAAAUCAACAUAAAGAGUGAAAAAAUGGUCAACAUUAAUCAUUUCAUUUCCAACUGUCCAGCUUUAAUUGAAUUGUAUCAAUAAUUUAUUUUUGUUUUUUAACCCUUUUCUUUCUCUCUUUUCCGUUAAUCAUUUCUGGAUAAUUAAUUAAACCACAAUCGUAAACAAUAGUAAUGAUUAUAAUAAAUGAUUAAAUGAACA